rnacentral:rRNA from 1 species
AUUACUCCUACGGGAGGCAGCAGUCGAGAAUCUUUCGCCAUGCCCGAAAGGGUGACGAAGCGACGCCGCGUGUGGGAAGAAGGCCUUCGGGUUGUAAACCACUGUCGGGAGUUAGGAAAUGCAGGUGCGUUAAUAGCGCACUUGCUUGACUAAGGCUCCAGAGGAAGCCACGGCUAACUCUGUGCCAGCGCCGCGGUAAUAAU